GAGUUUGAUCUUGGCUCAGAACGAACGCUUGCGGCGCGCCUAAUACAUGCAAGUCGAACGAGAAAAUAUCUUCGGAUGUGAGUAAAGUGGCGGACGGGUGAGGAACACGUAGAUAAUCUGCCCUAGAGAGGGGAAUAACUACUCGAAAGAGUAGCUAAUACCGCAUAAGACCACAAUUCCUUCGGGAAAAGGGGUUAAAGGAGCAAUUCGCUCUAGGAUGAGUCUGCGUCCGAUUAGCUAGUUGGUAGGGUAACGGCCUACCAAGGCGACGAUCGGUAGCUGGUCUGAGAGGAUGGCCAGCCACACUGGAACUGAGACACGGUCCAGACUCCUACGGGAGGCAGCAGUAGGGAAUAUUGCACAAUGGACGAAAGUCUGAUGCAGCGACGCCGCGUGAGUGAUGAAGGCCUU
rnacentral:rRNA from 1 species